GCUACCAUCCCCUCCCCCAAUUUCUGUGGACCCUGUGGUCAGGUGCUCUCCCCUAUCCACAGGGGCUUUGUGUGUGUGUGUAUGUGUGUAUGUGUUGUGUAUGUAUGUGUGUGCUCCAAUAAAGUUUGUACACUUUCCUAA